rnacentral:rRNA from 1 species
AUGGCCUACGGGACGCAGCAGUGGGGAAUAUUGCACAAUGGGGGGAACCCUGAUGCAGCGACGCCGCGUGAAGGAAGAAGUAUUUCGGUAUGUAAACUUCUAUCAGCAGGGAAGAAAAAGGACGGUACCUGACUAAGAAGCCCCGGCUAACUACGUGCCAGCAGUCGCGGUAAUACGUAGGGGGCAAGCGUUAUCCGGAUUUACUGGGUGUAAAGGGAGCGUAGACGGCGCGGCAAGUCUGAAGUGAAAGGCAGGGGCUUAACCCCUGAACUGCUUUGGCAACUGCCAUGCUAGAGUGCUGGAGG